GAUGAACGCUGGCGGCGUGCCUAAUACAUGCAAGUCGAGCGAACAGACGAGGAGCUUGCUCCUCUGACGUUAGCGGCGGACGGGUGAGUAACACGUGGAUAACCUACUUAUAAGACUGGGAUAAUUUCGGGAAACCGGAUCUAAUACCGGAUAAUAUAUUGAACCGCAUGGUUCAAUAGUGAAAGACGGCUUUGCUGUCACUAAUAGAUGCAUCCGCGCUGCAUUAGCUAGUUGGUAAGGUAACGGCUUACCAAGGCGACGAUGCGUAGCCGACCUGAGAGGGUGAUCGGCCACACUGGAACUGAGACACGGUCCAGACUCCUACGGGAGGCAGCAGUAGGGAAUCUUCCGCAAUGGGCGAAAGCUUGACGGAGCAACGCCGCGUGAGUGAUGAAGGUCUUCGGAUCGUAAAGCUCUGUUAUUAGGGAAGAACAAAUGUGUAAGUAACUAUGCACGUCUUGACGGUACCUAAUCAGAAAGCCACGGCUAACUACGUG
rnacentral:rRNA from 1 species